rnacentral:misc_RNA from 1 species
ACCGACGGGCGGUGGCAUCGCCCAAAAACCUUCGCCAGUGAUCGUUACCGAUGACAGUGGAGAAAAGAAAGUUGUGGGAACUUCAAAUCCGCUCACCGGUGUGGUGUCUCUGGACGCCAACAAGCUGCAAGAUGCCCUCGAU